rnacentral:misc_RNA from 1 species
UAGCCGUAGGUGAACCUGCGGCUGGAUCAUUAUCGAGCUUAACAAAAACACUGAUUGAUAGUGUUCAGGGGCCAGUCUUGAAUACACGGUGCAUUUGAUGGUCGUUUGCUCGGCCGAUGCACGUCGGUGUGCCCCAGUGACUAACGGCAUCCGUUGGCGUCUAUUCACCGCUGAGCAGCUGUGCCUUCGUCCGUGGCUGUGUUGAAGCGGUGGGCUAGCGUAUACGUCCUGGCUCCCUAACCCGGAGUCUUGGGGUAGCGGAUACGUAGACUUAAUGAGCCGUCCGAUAGUACGUGCCGCCAACAACCCAUUUUUCUAACGAUCUUUCUAACUUGAAAAGACAAUAUCAGUCUUACCGGUGGAUCACUCGGUUCGU